CACAGGCCUGGCAUCUUGUCCAACACCUGGAUGAUACCCAUUUUCAGAGGUCUGUCAUGUGUGUGCUUGAUGAAGAUGAAGAGUAUUUUCUCAGUGCCUAGGAUCCUCAACUGAGCUUCAUCAACCAGACUUUAAACUACAUGAGAAAGACCAUGCCAUGAAAAAGUACAAUUGCCAGUGUUUCCAUGGAAACCAGCAUAUAAAAAUGCUCUUUGCCUGGAGAGGCCUCCCUAACAACACUACAGAGAGAUGGUAACAGGAAUAC